rnacentral:rRNA from 1 species
GGUGAACGCUGGCGGCGUGCUUAACACAUGCAAGUCGAACGAAGCACUUUAUUUGAUUUCCUUCGGGACUGAUUAUUUUGUGACUGAGUGGCGGACGGGUGAGUAACGCGUGGGUAACCUGCCUUGUACAGGGGGAUAACAGUUGGAAACGGCUGCUAAUACCGCAUAAGCGCACAGCAUCGCAUGAUGCAGUGUGAAAAACUCCGGUGGUAUAAGAUGGACCCGCGUUGGAUUAGCUAGUUGGUGAGGUAACGGCCCACCAAGGCGACGAUCCAUAGCCGACCUGAGAGUGUGACCGGCCACAUUGGGACUGAGACACGGCCCAAACUCCUACGGGAGGCAGCAGUGGGGAAUAUUGCACAAUGGGCGAAAGCCUGAUGCAGCGACGCCGCGUGAGCGAAGAAGUAUUUCGGUAUGUAAAGCUCUAUCAGCAGGGAAGAUAAUGACGGUACCUGACGAAGAAGCACCGGCUAAAUACGUG